rnacentral:rRNA from 1 species
CAGUCGCCACGGUAAUACGAAGGGGGCUAGCGUUGCUCGGAAUUACUGGGCGUAAAGGGAGCGUAGGCGGGUCGUUUAGUCAGAGGUGAAAUCCCGGGGCUCAACCUCGGAACUGCCUUUGAUACUGGCGACCUUGAGUAUGGGAGAGGUGAGUGGAACUCCGAGUGUAGAGGUGAAAUUCGUAGAUAUUCGGAAGAACACCAGUGGCGAAAGCGACUCACUGGCCCAUUACUGACGCUGAGGCUCGAAAGCGUGGGGAGCAAACAGGAUUAGAUACCCCCGUAGUCCCUGUCUCUUAUAC